rnacentral:lncRNA from 1 species
UAGUAUAAUGAUAACUAGUUCAAAAAAUUAACUCGGACUGUUGAAGAAGAAGAGAAAAUUAUUAUUAAAUAUAAUUAAUUAAGUUGUUUGGAGCUUUAAGAUAGAGUUAUAUUGUAACUAAAGAUGCCCUCCAAGUUGGUUGCAUGUAUUUGAGUUGCAUGUAACUCAAUCUUCUCUAUUUGGAGCGUAGAAGAGUGGGGACUAGGUGAGGUAAGGGAGAAGUGGCAGGUGAUGAAGAUAAGUUGGAGGUUAGAUGGGGCAAGCAAAUAAGAAUUCAAUAAAGGAGAGAGAUAAAGGUCUGAUAAGAAAAGAUAGAUGACAUAGAGGUUGGGCAAGACAAGAUCAACAAGAAAAAUAGGUAGAAGUUUGGCAUUAUAAGGAUGGUAGAGCAGAAAGGAGAGGAGAGCAGAAUUGAUAGGAAGAAGGUAGAGUGGG